rnacentral:siRNA from 1 species
AUCAUUUAUAAAAGUCAUACUAC